GUCCUCUGUACUCAGUUGGUUAGAGCGCUGCACCGGAAUCGCAGGGCCGCAGGUUCGAUUCCUGUCAGGGACC